rnacentral:rRNA from 1 species
AGCAGCCGCGGUAAUUCCAGCUCCAAUAGCGUAUAUUAAAGUUGUUGCAGUUAAAAAGCUCGUAGUUGAAUUUCGGGAUCAAUAUUUCGGUCAUGCCGUUGGUAUGCACUGUUAUCAUUGAUUUCUCACCUUCUAAAGAACCGUGAUGCCAUUAAUUUGGUGUUACGGGGAAUUAGGACUGUUACCUUGAAAAAAUUAGAGUGUUUAAAGCAGGCUCACGCUUGAAUACAUUAGCAUGGAAUAAUGAAAUAGGACAUCCGAUUCUAUUUUGUUGGUUUCUAGGAUCGAUGUAAUGAUUAAUAGGGAUAGUUGGGGGCAUUAGUAUUCAAUUGUCAGAGGUGAAAUUCUUGGAUUUAUUGAAGACUAACUACUGCGAAAGCAUUUGCCAAGGAUGUUUUCAUUAAUCAAGAACGAAAGUUAGGGGAUCGAAGACGAUCAGAUACCGUCGUA